GAUGAACGCUGGCGGCGUGCCUAAUACAUGCAAGUCGAGCGAACAGACGAGGAGCUUGCUCCUCUGACGUUAGCGGCGGACGGGUGAGUAACACGUGGAUAACCUACCUAUAAGACUGGGAUAACUUCGGGAAACCGGAGCUAAUACCGGAUAAUAUAUUGAACCGCAUGGUUCAAUAGUGAAAGACGGUUUUGCUGUCACUUAUAGAUGGAUCCGCGCCGCAUUAGCUAGUUGGUAAGGUAACGGCUUACCAAGGCGACGAUGCGUAGCCGACCUGAGAGGGUGAUCGGCCACACUGGAACUGAGACACGGUCCAGACUCCUACGGGAGGCAGCAGUAGGGAAUCUUCCGCAAUGGGCCAAAGCCUGACGGAGCAACGCCGCGUGAGUGAUGAAGGUCUUCGGAUCGUAAAACUCUGUUAUUAGGGAAGAACAAAUGUGUAAGUAACUAUGCACGUCUUGACGGUACCUAAUCAGAAAGCCACGGCUAACUACGUG
rnacentral:rRNA from 1 species